rnacentral:rRNA from 1 species
AACGAACGCUGGCGGCAGCCCUAACACAUGCAAGUCGAGCGCACCUUCGGGUGAGCGGCGGACGGGUUAGUAACGCGUGGGAACGUGCCCUUCUCUACGGAAUAGCCUCUGGAAACGGAGAGUAAUACCGUAUACGCCCUUUGGGGGAAAGAUUUAUCGGAGAAGGAUCGGCCCGCGUUAGAUUAGGUAGUUGGUGGGGUAACGGCCUACCAAGCCUACGAUCUAUAGCUGGUUUUAGAGGAUGAUCAGCAACACUGGGACUGAGACACGGCCCAGACUCCUACGGGAGGCAGCAGUGGGGAAUCUUAGACAAUGGGCGCAAGCCUGAUCUAGCCAUGCCGCGUGAGUGAUGAAGGCCUUAGGGUCGUAAAGCUCUUUCGCCUGUGAUGAUAAUGACAGUAGCAGGUAAAGAAACCCCGGCUAACUCCGUG